CGGUAAUUCCAGCUCCAAUAGCGUAUACUAAAGUUGUUGCAGUUAAAAAGCUCGUAGUUGGAUUUCUGCGGGGACGGAGCGGCCGGACGCAACUUGCGUCUCGAGCUAGCGCUUUCCCCGCAUCCUGCCGCGAACCGUGCUACCAUUAGCUUGGUGGCGCUGGGGAUCGGCUCGAUUACUUUGAGAAAAAUAGAGUGUUCAAAGCAGGCCACACGCCUUGAAUAAGUUAGCAUGGAAUAAUGACUAAGGACUUCGGUUCUAUUUUGUUGGUGUUCGGGACUGAAGUAAUGAUUGAUAGGGACAGUUGGGGCGGUCUGUAUUCCAAAGCGAGAGGUGAAAUUCUUAGACCUUCGGAAGACAAACAGCUGCGAAAGCGUUCCGCAAGGAUGUUCCCUUUGAUCAAGAACGAAAGUUGGGGGAUCGAAGACGAUCAGAUACCGUCGUAGUCUCAACUAUAAACUAUACCAGCUAGGGAUCGGUCAACGUUUAAUCAUUCGACUUGAUCGGCACCUUAUGAGAAAUCAAAGCAUCUGGGUUCCGGGGGGAGUAUGGUCGCAAGGCUGAAACUUAAAGGAAUUGACGGAAGGGCACCACCAGCCGUGGAGCCUGUGGCUUAAUUUGACUCAACACGGGAAAACUUACCAGGUCCAGACAUAGUAAGGAUUGACAGAUUGAUAGCUCUUUCUUGAUUCUGUGGGUGGUGGUGCAUGGCCGUUCUUAGUUGGUGGAGUGAUUUGUCUGGUUAAUUCCGUUAACGAACGAGACCCCAGCCUGCUAAAUAGCGCGGCUGAGCUUUGCUCGGUGCGAGCUUCUUAGAGGGACUAUGAUGCGCGAUAGCACAUGGAAGUUUGGGGCAAUAACAGGUCUGUGAUGCCCUUAGAUGUUCUGGGCCGCACACGGGCUACACUGGCGCCUGCAACGAGCAUAUCAGCUGGCCCGAGAGGGUCUUGGCUAAUCUUUUGAACCGGCGCCGUGCUUGGGAUUGACCAUUGCAAUUGUUGGUCAUGCAACGAGGAAUGCCUUGUAAACGCGAGUCAUCAGCUCGCAUUGAAUACGUCCCUGCCCUUUGUACACACCGCCCGUCGCUCCUACCGAUGAAUGUUCCGAUGAAAUUUUCGGAGAGCGCCAGAGAACGGGGCUCUGCCUUGCAGAUCUGGAGGCUCAAAGUCACUUAAAUCUGAACAUUUCGAGGAAGGAGAAGUCGUAACAAGGUAGCC
rnacentral:rRNA from 1 species